ensembl:lncRNA
GUGUGUGUGGUGUGUGAGCAGUAUGUGUGUGAGACGUGUGUGUUAUGUGUGUGAGACGUGUGUGUGUGGUGUGUGAGACGUGUGUGUGACAUGUGUGUGGUGUGUGUGACUUGUGUGUGUGUGGUGUGUGAGACAUGUGUGUGUGUGUGUGACGUGUGUGUGGUGUGUGAGAUGUGUGUGUGUGUGUGUGUGUGUGUGUGUGUGUGUGUGUGUGGUGUGUGAGACGUGUGUGUGUGUGUGUGUGACAUGUGUGUGAUGUGUGUGACUUGUGUGUGUGUGGUGUGUGAGCAGUAUGUGUGAGACGUGUAUGUGUGGUGUGUGAGACGUGUGUGUGUUGUGUGUGACUUGUGUGUGUGGUGUGGGAGAGGUGUGUGUGUGUGUGUUGUGUGUGUGUGUGUGUGUGUGUGUGUGUGUGGUGUGUGAGACGUGUGUGUGUGUGUGUGUGUGAGACGUGUGUGUGUGUGGUGUGUGUGACUUGUGUGUGUGUGUGUGUGGUGUGUGAGCUAUUGUCCUUUUUAAUUUGAAUCCCCCACAGUACCUCCCUGGAAGCUACAA